UCCGGUAAUUCUUUUAUAUUAUUUUCUUUUUCUUCCUAAUUUUUCCUUUUCUCUUCUCUUCUCUCCAGGAAAGUGGCAUGUAAAAGGCAUUAUUACCCAUCUCCAUCAUCACAGCCGAUCACCUUCAGCCACACCCCAAUUAAAAAAAAAAAAUAAUAAAAAAUAAAAAAUUACUUUACCCCCAUCAUCUUCUUUGCCACACCAAAAUCCCUCCAUCACCACCAUCCAAAACUACUGUGUAAAAGCAACCCAACACCCAAGCCCUCACCUUCCUCCUUCAAUUACCAAGAACAGCCACCACCAAUUCACAAAACCCAAAAUCACCACCUUAAAACAACAACCGCCCAUCAGCGUUUUACUCACCGUUCCGUCCUCCAUCCUCGCCGUUAUCGUCUCUGAUUUUCGCCGGAGUUGCUGGUCUUUGUAGCCGGAAUUGUGGAUCCUUACCUGCCGUUAAUUAUCACCGGUUCAGUCCCGCCGGAAUCCUUGUUGGUCGUCACGCUUUGCCGGAUAUCACCGUGCUCAUCGUCGUGCAACCUCAUCAUCAUCGUUGCGGAGUUUCUCUGUUUGGGACAUGCCGUAUCGAUAUAUAUACAGUACCAUAUUUGGUCUGUUUGGCUACAAGUGUAGCAUUGUCCUCAUUCAGGAACUGAACCAGAUUCUAAACCAGUUUAACAAUCUUGAGUUGUCAAUCAGUUCUUUAAAAAAAAAUGCUGAAUCCGAUUGGGUACUUAUUUGGGAGCAUUCAAUAUUUGGUUAUUCUUAUUGGAGUAAAAAGACAAAUUUCCAGGUAUUCAAGGCUUGCUGAGGAAAGCUAUCCAAUUUGUAAGUCUAGACGACUUCAGGUAAUGGACGGUUCCAGGUCUUAGAUCUUGUUCAUGCUGAGCAGAGACGGCUUCUCAUUCUUCCGACGAUGUAAUCAGGUAUGGUCCUGGCCAACCCACAUUCGAAAAUCCGGAGGUAUCACAUCCUCACCCUUAGCUCGCUUGCCAUGUUCUGGUCUCUGUUCUAUGUUCUGCAUUUUGUGGUUCUUCUUAUUUCUAGGAUCUUUUUAUGAUGUUUUGUGGAACUUUGCUCUACCUUAUUCGGUUGACCAUUUUGGCGUUUCAUUCCCUAUUGUAAACAUGUCAACCUGAUUUUCAAUGGAAAUUCCUAUUUUUAUUUUCUUCCUAACUGUUUAUCUGUAUUGCAUAUUUCAUUGUUAUUUCUGUCUUUUGUAUCUUUUUCCAUCUAUUUCUCCCAGCCUUCCCUUUGCAGGUUAUACAUUUCAAGUUUGGGGGCCUGUUUUUCUUGGACUUUGCACCGGAGCAUUUUGUCACAUCACCAUGCAAUUUCCUCCUAUUCUUGGUUUCUCUUCCAAAUUGGAAAUAAGAUGGAAGUUUUUGAAGCUUUUUGUAAAGAUCAAGCCAUUCUGGGUUGUUGCAUCUGGAGAUUUCUGAGAAGAAUCUACUAAAGGAGGUCCAUGAAGCCUUUUACGAUGAAAAAGAGGGCAUAUGAUUCUCAAUGGGCCAGUACCAAUUCCAAAAAGAAGAAGUCUAAAGCAGAAGGAGCAGAAGAUGCAAUUUGAGGCAUCUUCGAGGGCUCGUAGCACCACCUACGAGCGCUCGUCCGGCAUCCAAGUGUGUUAUUCCGUGUCUCACGAGCACUCGUAACACCUACGAGCGCUCCAAAUCAAGGCAAAAUGGUUUAAGGCAUUUCGAGUGCUCUUAUUUCAGCUUCGAGCGCUCCAAAUCAAGGCAGUAUGAAUUUAAGCAGCUACGAGCGCUCAUAACUCCUUUUUUGAGUGCUCGUCCAUAGUCUCGAAUAAGAAGAAUUUUCCCUAAGGCAACUACGAGCGCUCGUAGCUCCACUUACGAGCGCUUGUAGGAACAUGGCAGACCCACUUGGCUCCUUAAACCUUUCAAUUGGUUUCCCUCCUUUAUGGGGUGGUUGGAAAUGUUCUUUUGGGGAGCAUGAACCUCGGUUUUUGGGGGGUUUGGUAGACAUCUUGUCUACAAAAGAGAGGAGGAAGCUUGUAUGAAGAUACACACAUUUUUGGCUAAGUUCUAGGGAGAAAAAGAGUGAGUCUUGAGGCUUUGGAGUUCUAGCUUGCUUGAGCACGAAAAUGGAGGGUGGAUUUCCUUCUUCUCCUUCAUUCCUUGCUCUUAUGGGUAACUAAAUCCUUCUCUAGGGAGGUGAUGAAGCUUUCCCUUGUAAUCAUGUUCUAGAUUAGGCUCUAUUUUGGGGAUAAUAAUGUAUAACUUUUGGUCUUUUCAUAAUCUAGAACAUAUUCC